rnacentral:rRNA from 1 species
CUUGCUUCUCUUGAGAGCGGCGGACGGGUGAGUAAUGCCUAGGAAUCUGCCUGGUAGUGGGGGAUAACGUUCGGAAACGGACGCUAAUACCGCAUACGUCCUACGGGAGAAAGCAGGGGACCUUCGGGCCUUGCGCUAUCAGAUGAGCCUAGGUCGGAUUAGCUAGUUGGUGGGGUAAUGGCUCACCAAGGCUACGAUCCGUAACUGGUCUGAGAGGAUGAUCAGUCACACUGGAACUGAGACACGGUCCAGACUCCUACGGGAGGCAGCAGUGGGGAAUAUUGGACAAUGGGCGAAAGCCUGAUCCAGCCAUGCCGCGUGUGUGAAGAAGGUCUUCGGAUUGUAAAGCACUUUAAGUUGGGAGGAAGGGUUGUAGAUUAAUACUCUGCAAUUUUGACGUUACCGACAGAAUAAGCACCGGCUAACUCUGUGCCAGCAGCCGCGGUAAUACAGAGGGUGCAAGCGUUAAUCGGAAUUACUGGGCGUAAAGCGCGCGUAGGUGGUUUGUUAAGUUGGAUGUGAAAUCCCCGGGCUCAACCUGGGAACUGCAUUCAAAACUGACUGACUAGAGUAUGGUAGAGGGUGGUGGAAUUUCCUGUGUAGCGGUGAAAUGCGUAGAUAUAGGAAGGAACACCAGUGGCGAAAGCGACCACCUGGACUAAUACUGACACUGAGGUGCGAAAGCGUGGGGAGCAAACAGGAUUAGAUACCCUGGUAGUCCACGCCGUAAACGAUGUCAACUAGCCGUUGGAAGCCUUGAGCUUUU